GUGUCAGCCGCCGCGGUAAUACAGAGGGGGCCAGCGUUAUUCGGAAUUAUUGGGCGUAAAGGGCGCGUAGGCGGCCCUGCGUGUCUUCCGUGAAAUCCCUCGGCUCAACUGAGGACGGGCGGAAGAAACUGCGGGGCUGGAGUCCGGGAGAGGAGGGUGGAAUUCCCAGUGUAGCGGUGAAAUGCGUAGAUAUUGGGAGGAACACCGGUGGCGAAGGCGGCCCUCUGGACCGGUACUGACGCUGAUGCGCGAAAGCGUGGGGAGCAAACGGGAUUAGAUACCCCGGUAGUCCACGCCGUAAACGAUGGGCACUUGGUGUCGCGGGUAUCGACCCCUGCGGUGCCGAAGCUAACGCAUUAAGUGCCCCGCCUGGGGAGUACGGUCGCAAGGCUGAA
rnacentral:rRNA from 1 species